GAGAGAAGCUUGCUUCUCUUGAGAGCGGCGGACGGGUGAGUAAUGCCUAGGAAUCUGCCUGGUAGUGGGGGAUAACGUUCGGAAACGGACGCUAAUACCGCAUACGUCCUACGGGAGAAAGCAGGGGACCUUCGGGCCUUGCGCUAUCAGAUGAGCCUAGGUCGGAUUAGCUAGUUGGUGAGGUAAUGGCUCACCAAGGCGACGAUCCGUAACUGGUCUGAGAGGAUGAUCAGUCACACUGGAACUGAGACACGGUCCAGACUCCUACGGGAGGCAGCAGUGGGGAAUAUUGGACAAUGGGCGAAAGCCUGAUCCAGCCAUGCCGCGUGUGUGAAGAAGGUCUUCGGAUUGUAAAGCACUUUAAGUUGGGAGGAAGGGUUGUAGAUUAAUACUCUGCAAUUUUGACGUUACCGACAGAAUAAGCACCGGCUAACUCUGUGCCAGCAGCCGCGGUAAUACAGAGGGUGCAAGCGUUAAUCGGAAUUACUGGGCGUAAAGCGCGCGUAGGUGGUUUGUUAAGUUGGAUGUGAAAUCCCCGGGCUCAACCUGGGAACUGCAUUCAAAACUGACUGACUAGAGUAUGGUAGAGGGUGGUGGAAUUUCCUGUGUAGCGGUGAAAUGCGUAGAUAUAGGAAGGAACACCAGUGGCGAAGGCGACCACCUGGACUAAUACUGACACUGAGGUGCGAAAGCGUGGGGAGCAAACAGGAUUAGAUACCCUGGUAGUCCACGCCGUAAACGAUGUCAACUAGCCGUUGGAAGCCUUGAGCUUUUAGUG
rnacentral:rRNA from 1 species